CACGUAGGGCGCAAGCGUUGUCCGGAAUUAUUGGGCGUAAAGAGCUCGUAGGUGGUUUGUUACGUCCGCUGUGAAAUCCUAGGGCUUAACCCUGGGCUUGCAGUGGAUACGGGCAGACUAGAGGUAGGUAGGGGAGAAUGGAAUUCCUGGUGUAGCGGUGAAAUGCGCAGAUAUCAGGAGGAACACCGGUGGCGAAGGCGGGUCUCUGGGCCGAUACUGACGCUGAGGAGCGAAAGCGUGGGGAGCGAACAGG
rnacentral:rRNA from 1 species